rnacentral:rRNA from 1 species
AUUGAACGCUGGCGGAAUGCUUUACACAUGCAAGUCGGGCGGCAGCGCGGGGGCAACCCUGGCGGCGAGCGGCGAACGGGUGAGUAAUACAUCGGAACGUGUCCUUGAGUGGGGGAUAGCUCGGCGAAAGCCGGAUUAAUACCGCAUAAGCUCUGAGGAGGAAAGCGGGGGACUGGUAACGGCCUCGCGCUGUUGGAGCGGCCGAUGUCGGAUUAGCUAGUUGGUGGGGUAAAGGCCCACCAAGGCGACGAUCCGUAGCUGGUCUGAGAGGAUGAUCAGCCACACUGGAACUGAGACACGGUCCAGACUCCUACGGGAGGCAGCAGUGGGGAAUUUUGGACAAUGGGGCAACCUGAUCCAGCCAUUCCGCGUGAGUGAAGAAGGCC